UGGUUUAGCUUAGUGGAAAAGUGGGUGUCUUAUAAGCAUCUGAGGCUGGUUCGAUUCCAGCAUGGCCAA
rnacentral:tRNA from 1 species